CACGUACUGUGCGAACGUUAUUCGGAAUCACUGGGCUUAAAGGGUACGUAGGCGGUUAAUCAAGUCAGGUGUGAAAUGCCUGAGCUCAACUGAGCACUGCGCUUGAAACUGAUUAGCUAGAGUAUUCCAGGGGUGUGCGGAACUUAUGGUGGACGGUGAAAUGCGUUGAUAUCAUGAGACACCGGAGCGAAGGCGGCACACUGGGAAUUACUGACGCUGAGUACGAAAGCUAGGGUAGCGAACGGGAUUAGAUACCCGUGUAGUCC
rnacentral:rRNA from 1 species